UUAUGGGUACUCUAAGAGAGUAAAAGGGAAAAAGGUAAAAACCUUUGCAGCACCCGCUACUGUAAUGUGGACGAACGUUUGUAACCACUGUAAAAAUUUUACGGGAAGGAAACUAGUAGGAUGAAGCUAAGCCAGGAUACCUGCCUAUAAU
rnacentral:ncRNA from 1 species